CUUUAUGUCAUCUUUUUUUAAAAAGAAAGAAAGAAAACACUCGCGGAUAAAUGUCACACCGAAGUAAUAAAGGGGAUCAAAGUGAAAGUGAUUAAAAUGGUGAGGGGUAAAGUGCAAAAAGUUAGAUUGAGGAAAAAGUCACGAGGAAUGAUGAUGACGUCACUUAGCAAGAUGGCUCUGCCACAGCUACGUUAAAACCGCGUGCUUGGGUCCAUAUGAAUAACCGACGUAAUUUAUUUAUAAUUUAUAUAUUAUUACUCUAGCAGCUUCUUAAAAAAAAUCACUGAACAGCCUACUUUAAAUCGCUUUUAACCUCGUAUUGAGGAAAAAAGGUCGAACCCAUUUCGUAUCCAAUGCAGACAACUUGGACUACAAGUUCCUGAAAAACUACAGCUUAUUUCGCAGAAUCUGUCGUAUUAUACCAUUUACAUUAAACUAAUUAGAUUUUGCCUUUGUUGUUCUCUUUUUUUUUUUACUUUUUUAUAGUUCGAGAGGUAAGUAAAAGAGUGUUUAAAAGCAUUGGAUUGAGCAUUAUACGUCUAAGGUUAAACUAUAUUAGACCAGAGAGCUUUCCAUUACAUGUAUUGUAUGAGAGCGAGAGCUUAUUUCUGGGGUCAAGACCGGUUAUGUUUUGCCAGUAUAUAUUUAAGAUUGGCAUCAAACUUGUAACGACCAUAUAUAUUUUAUAUUUUAUGUUUCGUAUUUGUAUUCAGAUCGUUAUUUUAUUAUCAACAUAUAACUAACUUGCGAAAAGAAUCAAAAUAUUAUGUUUACUAUAUGAUUUGUGAAACAUGUAAUAUUAUACUAUUGGCAACUGAAUCAUUCACCAAUUAAUGGUUUAGUGUUUCAUAUACAGUUUCUAACUUUAUAGAAUACUAUACUAGUUACAGUGGUCAUAUUUAUUCAAGACAUUCUACUAUAAUUCUGCCAUUCUGGUAUCAGCGAAGUAUAAGGAGACUUAAGAAUUUGAGUCAAUAUCUGCAAGUUUCGUCCGGAAGCUUCGUCAAACGUUGAUUUCCCGCUUCAGAAUCGGAAUCAGAAGUUUAUGAAAACUCUCGGAAUCUCGUUUCCAAUACGCUUCCAAAAAUACCUCUUUAAAAAUAUGUUGGAAACUUAUUCUUCCAUUUAGGAUUCACCUUCCAUCUAAAAAAAUUAAUAUCAUUAAUAAGUAAAAAAUAUAUAUUAUAUUUUUUAUUUUAUAUAAAAUUCAAAAUUAAUAGUAUUAAAAUAGAGAUAAUACAAAAUAUGCAAAUAUCAAAUUUAGUACUAUAAAUUUUCUUUGUGCAUGAUAAUUUUUUUUGUAAUUGAUCUUGCAUAUAUAUUCAAAUAUAUUGUGACAGAUAUUUGCGAACUAUUAAAAAUAAUUAAGUUGAUAAUAUUUUUAUAAGCUUAAUAUGUUAGUAUUUUUAUAAUUAAAAUAUGAAUUCAACUAAAUGAAUAAAAUAAUUAAAAAUGAACAAGUGAUUUUUUUAUAUUUUGAAUCAUAUAACUUUAGUCAUAAGCUUUAUUAAAUCAUUUUUAUUUUUAUAUAUAUAUAUAUAUGUUUAUUUAUUGGAUAUACGCUUCCAACACGUAUUCGCUUCUUAAUUUUUUGAAAAAUCUUACUUUUACGCUUCCAUACGAUUUUGCUUCCACGUACACGCUUUCGAUUCUAGGUAACAUAGCCUUUGACUCACUUUGGAAUGUGUGUAUGUCGACUGAUUUCAAAAAAUUGAAUUGCGGAUAUAAGUGUUGAUCAAACUUAUUUUAUGGAGCGGUUGUGGAUUGGUCUAAUUUGAAUUGCGGAGAUUUACCUUAUUUGCAAUUUUAUUUUUUGAAAAAAUGAAAAAAACAAAUUUUGUCAAAAUAUAUAUUAUUUUUUAUUAGUAUUUUAAUUUUAUAAGUAGAAUCAAUAGCAAUAAAUCAUGUUUGAAGAGGUUCAUAUGAAAUGUCAUGUAAAAAAAUAACUCAACACAAGGAUGAUGAAUUACUUUCAGAAAUAAAUAACUAAAAUAUAAUUAAAAUAAUUAUUCUUUAAAUUUUAAAAUUACUGUGGCCUAUUCGAAAUACCUGUAGAUUUCUACAGAAUUGGUGCUGGUUUACUAUUUUUUUGCCAGUUAUGCACGUCGAUUUUUGAAUAAAACAAAUUCAACUUGCGUUGAGAUGAAUCAAAUGGAGCGAGUUUGGCAUGUUUCCCAAUACUAAGAAAGAUUAUUGAAUCGAGAAUAUAAGAGAAUUUUAAUUUUUCUUCUUCUUAAAUUCCUUCUUAUUGUAACAAGCAUUUAUAAAAUAUUAUAUGAAAUCUUAGUUUACUGAAUUAUUCAUUUGUAUAAAUUUUUCUAAAUUAUAGCUUAUUGAAAUAUAUGGAUUUGUCAAUAAAAUCUAUGAAAUAGUAUUUGUUGGGCUUUGAAAUAUAAUUUUUAUUUAAUAUAUAGUGAACCGAAAUACCAGUUCAGAUAUAAUAUUUAAAACUUUUUAAAAGACAAAACGAAUUUUUCUUUAUUUUUUCACUUUAAGGUUUAAGAAAAUUAAAAUGUUUGGAAUAAAAAACUGAAAUAAUUAUUUGAAUAUCAAUUUUUUAAUUUAAUACACGUUUUUUAUAAUUGACAAAAUAAUUAAAUAUAUUUAUGAAUAAAUUUUGAUCAUUUGUUUUUUUUUAAGAUCGAGAGAAUAUUUUCAGAAACCCUGACUUUUUUUUCAAAUAACCUUAAAACUCGUAAAAAUAAUCCUACAAAAUCUACUUAAAUCUUUGAUUUCCUUGAAUUUAGUAUAUGUUAAAAUUAUCUCAAAUCUUUAAUCCAAUUCUUAAGCAUAAAAUCAAGCAAUUACCAUCUAGGCACUUGGUAGUAAUAUCCACCACUACCAUAUUCUAUAGUAAGGAUGCUGUCAAUUACUAAAUAAAUAUGUGCAUGCAUGUAUUUACGUACGAACUAGAAACUUAAAAGUUGAUUUUAUUUGAAACAGAAUUGCAAUAUGCUCUUAUGGUAGUAAUAUUAUGCUCCCCACAAUCACUUUUAUUUUUAGGGGAUUAUGACUCACUCGAAAGAAUCCUUUAAAUUUAAUUAAGGAGGACAAAAAGCAAUAUAAUGAUAAUAAUAAUUUUUCACAAAAGAAAAUAUUAUUAUUAACGUUGCAGAAGGUGAUUAUUAAAUUAAACGUAAAGUAUGGUGUUUAAUUUAAAAGUCCUGAGAGGUAUAUUCCUUUUGUACUUUUUUUUAUUGCGGUGUUUUCGUUUUUUACAGCUGUAUGGGACACCAAACCUGGAUGGACGUUAGAUGCAAUCUAAAUCGCAUAUACAAAUGAAUCCAACGGAUAAAAUCGUAGUGAGGCAAAUGGAGGAUGACACAGAGGAUUUGACCACCUUUUUCGCCUGCGAAUCCAGCGUGGAGCCAAUCAGAAGACCUGCUGUCAAACAAUGUGUCCCGUCCACAGGUUAUGUUAAACAAUGUGACACUGACACAGGUUGUUUGGAUUCCUUAUUAGUACUAAUUUGCAGUUCUCUUACCUUUAUUAACCACAACACUGUUUUGAAAACGAUUCAAAUCAGCUUCUCAAAUACUCACACUAUUUUAUAGUACAUUAAUGAGUUUCUAAAUUAAUUUGUUUUUAGCCUUUUAAAUGUUAGAAAGUGUUUGGAAAAGGUAUAAAUCUCGUGCAUUUGCUAUGUGCCAAAAAUAUAUUGUCUUCGGGUUAUUAAUAAUUCUCAUGUGAACUGCGAAUGUAGUUUUUUUUUGGGUGGAAAGAGUAAGUUACAAAAAAAAGGAACAAUUAAGGUUCCGAAUGGUGACUGCGGUUUGAGCGGUGUGGGACAAGCAGUUCAACUGCGGUGCGGUUCUAAUAGUUAUAAAAAUAUAUAGAUAUAUAAUAUAUGUAGAGAUUUUUGUUACUGUUAACUGCAGGGCGGGACGGGACAAUGGUCACCAUUCGAAGCUUAAAUGCUUGUAGUCGACCCCGCACACACCCACAAUUUUGAACUUUUUUUAGUAGUAAUUUUUAUAUUAACUAUUCUUAAAUCGAAAAAUGCUUCAUGGUGUACAACUUUAGAAUAAGGUGAAAAAAAACAGAAUUGGUGGUGGAUAUUGAAAUGUUGUUUGUAGUUAGUUUAUUUGGUGGCGGAUACUGAAAUUGGUACGAAGAUAGCAUUGUGUUUUUUUUUUUGACUAAACAGUAUUGUGGUUUAUAAGGAGGAAUAACUUGUGAAAUAUUUUUCAUUUCAAAUAUUUUUUUUUACCAAAUCAAUUUUACGCAAAAUGAAACGGGUAAGGUUUCAACUAUUCUACCAACGGAAUUUAUAUCAUUUUAGAAUUGAUUUUACAUGACUUUGUCACGAUUAGACAUCUUAUAUAUUAAAAAAAAACUCACAAUCUUGAUUCAUAUGUAAUUUUUUUUUAAAAAAUAGAUAUAAUGGAUUUAUUCCUAAAAAGUCAUGUUACUUUUAAUAUCUAAUAUUAUCAUUUAAAUUUUAGGCAUACCAGAAAUUUUUAUUGGGCUAUCAAUAAUUAGAUUUAAACAAUAGAUGAUCCAUUAGAUUUAUAGAUAGUAUAAAUUAAAUAAAUAUAAUUUAAUGUUGUAAUACUAUACCUUUAUAUGCCAAAUAUUUAAAUAUUUGUCGAUGUUAACUUUUAAAAUUAUAAUUUUUUUUUUAAAUAA